GCGGUGGAGUCGCUACAGUCAAGGCGGGCCAGGUGAGACGGCAGCGGAGCCCCCGGGACCGCACGCCGCGCACCCGACACCACUGAGACCCGAGGCAGAGAACCCAUUGUGUCUGAAA